rnacentral:rRNA from 1 species
GACGAACGCUGGCGGCGUGCUUAACACAUGCAAGUCGAACGGAAAGGCCCUGCUUUUGUGGGGUGCUCGAGUGGCGAACGGGUGAGUAACACGUGAGUAACCUGCCCUUGACUUUGGGAUAACUUCAGGAAACUGGGGCUAAUACCGGAUAGGCGCUCCUGCUGCAUGGUGGGGGUUGGAAAGUUUCGGCGGUUGGGGAUGGACCCGCGGCUUAUCAGCUUGUUGGUGGGGUAGUGGCUUACCAAGGCCUUGACGGGUAGCCGGCCUGAGAGGGUGACCGGCCACAUUGGGACUGAGAUACGGCCCAGACUCCUACGGGAGACAGCAGUGGGGAAUAUUGCACAAUGGGCGGAAGCCUGAUGCAGCAACGCCGCGUGCGGGAUGACGGCCUUCGGGUUGUAAACCGCUUUCGCCUGUGACGAAGCGUGAGUGACGGUAAUGGGUAAAGAAGCACCGGCUAACUACGUG